rnacentral:rRNA from 1 species
GGUAUGGGAUGAGCUUGCGUCCGAUUAGCUAGUUGGCGGGGCAACGGCCCACCAAGGCGACGAUCGGUAGCCGGCCUGAGAGGGUGAUCGGCCACAUUGGGACUGAGAUACGGCCCAGACUCCUACGGGAGGCAGCAGUAGGGAAUAUUGCACAAUGGGGGAAACCCUGAUGCAGCAACGCCACGUGUGGGAAGAAGCAUUUCGGUGUGUAAACCACUGUCGUGAGGGAAUAAUACGCGGUUUCGGCCGCGGGGGAAUGUACCUCGAAAGGAAGCACCGGCAAACUUCGUGCCAGCAGCCGCGGUAAUACGAGGGGUGCAAGCGUUGUUCGGAAUCACUGGGCGUAAAGGGAGCGUAGGCGGAUGUUCAAGCGGAUUGUACAAUACCGGGGCCCAACCCCGGACCUGCGGUCCGAACUGGACAUCUUGGAUAGUUCAGGGGCAGGC